rnacentral:rRNA from 1 species
AGGCAGCAGUGGGGAAUUUUGGACAAUGGGGGAAACCCUGAUCCAGCCAUCCCGCGUGUGCGAUGAAGGCCUUCGGGUUGUAAAGCACUUUUGGCAGGAAAGAAACGUCAUGGGUUAAUACCCCGUGAAACUGACGGUACCUGCAGAAUAAGCACCGGCUAACUACGUGCCAGCAGCCGCGGUGAUACGUAGGGUGCAAGCGUUAAUCGGAAUUACUGGGCGUAAAGCGUGCGCAGGCGGUUCGGAAAGAAAGAUGUGAAAUCCCAGAGCUUAACUUUGGAACUGCAUUUUUAACUACCGGGCUAGAGUGUGUCAGAGGGAGGUGGAAUUCCGCGUGUAGCAGUGAAAUGCGUAGGUAUGCGGAGGAACACCGAUGGCGAAGGCAGCCUCCUGGGAUAACACUGACGCUCAUGCACGAAAGCGUGGGGAGCAAACAGGAUUAGAUACCCUGGUAGUCCACGCCCUAAACGAUGUCAACUAGCUGUUGGGGCCUUCGGGCCUUGGUAGCGCAGCUAACGCGUGAAGUUGACCGCCUGGGGAGUACGGUCGCAAGAUUAAAACUCAAAUGAAUUGACG